rnacentral:rRNA from 1 species
AUUGAACGCUGGCGGCAGGCCUAACACAUGCAAGUCGAACGAGUAGCGGACGGGUGAGUAAUGUCUGGGAAACUGCCUGAUGGAGGGGGAUAACUACUGGAAACGGUAGCUAAUACCGCAUAACGUAAGUUGUGCCCAGCUGGGAUUAGCUGGUUGGGGGGGUAACGGCUCACAAAGGAGACGAUCCCUAGCUGGUCUGAGAGGAUGACCCGCAACAAGGGAACGGAGACACGGUCAAGACUCCUACGUGAGGCAGCAGUGGGGAAUAUUGCACAAUGGGCGAAAGCCUGAUGCAGCAAUGCCGCUAGUAUGAAGAAGGCCUUCGGGUUGUAAAGUACUUUCAGCGGAGAGGCGUUACCCGCAGAAGAAGCACCGGCUAACUCCGUGCCAGCAGCCGCGGUAAUAC